ACACAUAAUGUAAUAAUUACCACAGUCAAAUUAAUAUAUCACUACUCAGAGUUACGUGUGUGUGUGUGCGUGUGAGUGUGUGUAUUUGUUUCUGUGUGUUUGUGUGUGUGUGCAUAGAAGGACAGGGCAGGCUAAGUUAUGCUGUCCUGUGUUCAGAGAGGAGUAAUAAAUAAAUCCAGAGAAAGCUAACUUGUGAGAAGCAAAAGCAGA
rnacentral:lncRNA from 1 species